rnacentral:tRNA from 1 species
CAGGUGGCCGAGCGGUUGAAGGCUCUAGUCUUGAAAACUAGCGUGCGGGAAACCGUACCGUGGGUUCGAAUCC